rnacentral:rRNA from 1 species
GACAGAGGGUGCAAACGUUGUUCGGAAUUACUGGCGUAAAGGCUCGUAGGCGGCCAACUAAGUCAGACGUGAAAUCCCUCGGCUUAACCGGGGAACUGCGUCUGAUACUGGAGGGCUUGAAUUCGGGAGAGGGAUGUGGAAUUCCAGGGUGUAGCCGGUGAAAUGCGUAGAUAUCUGGAGGAACACCGGUGGCGAAGGCGGCAUCCUGGACCGAGAUUGACGCUGAGGCGCGAAAGCUAGGGGAGCAAACGGG